CAAGGCAAUAUCGAAUGUACUAAGAGGUGAGUGAACAUUUCUGGCAUCAGAUUUAACUGGUUGGUGUGAACUACAAGCUCACUAUGGUGUUCGAGAGAAAAUAACAAGGAAAGGGGAAACAGUUGAAGUCAUAGUGCUAAAUAUAAUGAUGGGGUGGAAACGAUUGGGUUGUUCAGUAGUGUGGGUUUGGGUUGUGCAUGGCCGUCCCUAUGCAUAAUAUGCCUAGUGGUGGGGCAAUGUCCCGGUAACUCACACAGUCCAGAAUUGACCUUCAGGUCGUGGCAGCGACGGUGGGUGAUUCUUUCUGUUGUCUGGGGACAAAUUCAGCAGCGCUAGCUGUUUCCCAACUUGGGGGGUUCCGAGGCCUGUCCUUAGGUGCUGGCUGGGUCAAUGCGUUCGGGGGGAGGCCGAGCAGCCCCAGGAUCAUCGAUGCCUCUUGUAUGCAGUGAAUUUUAUGCGUAUCUUCGCCUUUUGUUACCAUCAGGGUGUGAGCCGGGCCCCAGCGGUAUGUGACAUGUUUCUCCCGCAGAAGUGAUGUCAAU